UUCCAGACUCCUACGGGAGGCAGCAGUGGGGAAUAUUGCACAAUGGGCGAAAGCCUGAUGCAGCAACGCCGCGUGAAGGAAGAAGGGUUUCGGCUCGUAAACUUCUAUCAACAGGGACGAAAGAAAUGACGGUACCUGAAUAAGAAGCCCCGGCUAACUACGUGCCAGCAGCCGCGGUAAUACGUAGGGAGCGAGCGUUGUCCGGAAUUACUGGGUGUAAAGGGAGCGUAGGCGGGCGAGAAAGUUGAAUGUUAAAUCUACCGGCUUAACUGGUAGCUGCGUUCAAAACUUCUUGUCUUGAGUGAAGUAGAGGCAGGCGGAAUUCCUAGUGUAGCGGUGAAAUGCGUAGAUAUUAGGAGGAACACCGGCGGCGAAGGCGGCCUGCUGGACCGUGACUGACGUUGAGGCUCGAGAGCGUGGGGAGCAAACAGGAUUAGAUACCCCAGUAC
rnacentral:rRNA from 1 species